CAGCCGCCGCGGGAAUACGUAGGUGGCAAGCGUUGUCCGGAAUUAUUGGGCGUAAAGGGCUCGCAGGCGGUUUCCUAAGUCUGAUGUGAAAGCCCCCGGCUCAACCGGGGAGGGUCAUUGGAAACUGGGAAACUUGAGUGCAGAAGAGGAGAGUGGAAUUCCACGUGUAGCGGUGAAAUGCGUAGAGAUGUGGAGGAACACCAGUGGCGAAGGCGACUCUCUGGUCUGCAACUGACGCUGAGGAGCGAAAGCGUGGGGAGCGAACAGGAUUAGAUACCCGCGUAGUCCCUGUCUCUUAUAC
rnacentral:rRNA from 1 species